UACGAGGGGUGCAAGCGUUGCUCGGAAUUAUUGGGCGUAAAGGGUAGGUAGGUGGUCUCAUUUGUCUAGGGUGAAAGCCUUGAGCUUAACUCAAGAAGUGCCCUAGAAACGGUGAGACUGGAGUCUUGGAGAGGGUCGUGGAAUUCCCGGUGUAGCGGUGAAAUGCGCAGAUAUCAGGGGGAACACCAAUGGCGAAGGCAGCUCGCUGGGACGGUACUGACGCUGAGACGCGAAAGCGUGGGGAGCAAACAGG
rnacentral:rRNA from 1 species